CCAGCUUGCUGGUGGAUUAGUGGCGAACGGGUGAGUAACACGUGAGUAACCUGCCCUUGACUCUGGGAUAAGCCUGGGAAACUGGGUCUAAUACCGGAUAUGACCUUCCAUCGCAUGGUGGUUGGUGGAAAGCUUUUGUGGUUUUGGAUGGACUCGCGGCCUAUCAGCUUGUUGGUGAGGUAAUGGCUUACCAAGGCGACGACGGGUAGCCGGCCUGAGAGGGUGACCGGCCACACUGGGACUGAGACACGGCCCAGACUCCUACGGGAGGCAGCAGUGGGGAAUAUUGCACAAUGGGCGCAAGCCUGAUGCAGCGACGCCGCGUGAGGGAUGACGGCCUUCGGGUUGUAAACCUCUUUCAGUAGGGAAGAAGCCGCAAGGUGACGGUACCUGCAGAAGAAGCGCCGGCUAACUACGUGCCAGCAGCCGCGGUAAUACGUAGGGCGCAAGCGUUAUCCGGAAUUAUUGGGCGUAAAGAGCUCGUAGGCGGUUUGUCGCGUC
rnacentral:rRNA from 1 species